UACGGGAGGCAGCAGUGGGGAAUAUUGCACAAUGGGCGCAAGCCUGAUGCAGCCAUGCCGCGUGUAUGAAAAAGGCCUUUCGGGUUGUAAAGUACUUUCAGUCGUGAGGAAGGUGUUAAGGUUAAUAACCUUAGCAAUUGACGUUAGCGACAGAAGAAGCACCGGCUAACUCCGUGCCAGCAGCCGCGGUAAUACGGAGGGUGCGAGCGUUAAUCGGAAUUACUGGGCGUAAAGGGCACGCAGGCGGUUAAUUAAGUUGGAUGUGAAAUCCCCGGGCUUAACCUGGGAAUGGCAUUCAAGCUGGUUAGCUAGAGUCUUGUAGAGGGGGUAGAAUUCCAUGUGUAGCGGUGAAAUGCGUAGAGAUGUGGAGGAAUACCGGUGGCGAAGGCGGCCCCUGGACAAAGACUGACGCUCAUGUGCGAAAGCGUGGGGAGCAAACAGGGAUUAGAUACC
rnacentral:rRNA from 1 species